AACCUAGCACACCUGCGGUGUGUACCUGCGGAAGGAUCAUUAACGAAUGGUCUCCGUACCUUCAAACCCCUCAAACCAGUGGACAAUUUAAAAUGUGCUUCGGCGCUCCUGCGCCGCCUUUAUGCCGUAAAUCUGUCGUUUGUGUCUGAAUACAAACCAAAAGAAUCAAAACUUUUAACAAUGGAUCU
rnacentral:misc_RNA from 1 species